rnacentral:rRNA from 1 species
GACUGGGGCGGUCGCCUCCUAAAAAGUAACGGAGGCGCGCAAAGGUAAGUUCAAAUUAUAACAAUUUGUAAUUGUAGAGCGUAAUAGUAUAUGCUUGCUUGACUGUAAGAUUGACAAAUCAAACAGGGACGAAAGUCGGUUAUAGUGAUCCAGUAAUUUUGAAUGGAAAAGUUAUUGCUUAACGGAUAAAAGGUACGCCGGGGAUAACAGGCUAAUCACUCCCUAGAGACCAUAUCGACGGGGUGGUUUGGCACCUCGAUGUUGGAUUAUCACAUCCUGGAGCUGUAAGUGGUUCCAAGGGUUUAGCUGUUCGCUAAUGAAGGUGGUACAUGAUCUGAGUUCAGAACGUCGUGAGACAGUUUGGUCCCUAUCUUCCGCAAACGUAAAAAACUGAAAGGUUUAAACUUUAGUACGAGAGGACCGAGAAAAGUAAAUCUAUGGUGUUUCGGUUGUUAUACUUUAUAGCAUCGCCGAGUAGCUACAUUUAUAAUAGAUAAUUACUAAUCAUUAUACUAGUAUGAAUCUAACCUUAAGAUAAGUUUUUUAGAAAUCGUAACAGAUUAUUACGUAAUCUUUUCAUAAUAGACUUUAUGUAUAAAAAUUGUAAGAUUUUAAGCUUAAAAGCACUAAAUU